rnacentral:rRNA from 1 species
AUUGAACGCUGGCGGCAUGCUUUACACAUGCAAGUCGAACGGCAGCGGGGAGGAGCUUGCUUCUCUGCCGGCGAGUGGCGAACGGGUGAGUAAUACAUCGGAACGUGUCGAGAAGAGGGGGAUAACCACCCGAAAGGGUGGCUAAUACCGCAUAAAUUCUGAGGAAGAAAGCUGGGGACCUAGGAAUAGGCCUAGCGCUUUUUGAGCGGCCGAUGUCGGAUUAGCUAGUUGGUGAGGUAAAGGCUCACCAAGGCGAAGAUCUGUAGCGGGUCUGAGAGGAUGAUCCGCCACACUGGGACUGAGACACGGCCCAGACUCCUACGGGAGGCAGCAGUGGGAAAUUUUGGACAAUGGGGGCAACCCUGAUCCAGCCAUGCCGCGUGUAUGAAGAAGGCCUUAGGGUUGUAAAGUACUUUUGUUAGGGAAGAAAAGUCAGCUGUGAAUAAUGGCUGAUACUGACGGUACCUAAAGAAUAAGCACCGGCUAACUACGUG